rnacentral:lncRNA from 1 species
CCUUACUGUAUUAUGUUUCUGCCCCAGUGAAAAGAGUAUUUGGUUGUUACCACCAUGAAGCUUUGACACUUUGACCUUGUGGCUCAUAUAUUCUAUAAUAUAAUAUGAGCGAUCGGAAACAGUGGAAGUGUGGACAAACAUAUUUUUUAUAUAUGUUAAAAUCUUGAAGUCUCUAGGGAACGUUUGGUUUUGGAAGUUGAGUUUGGCAGAUCAGGAAAUGGUCACGUAAGUAACUGGAACUGCCAUGUACUUUACGUCAUUUUUUUUAGCAUUGAUACUUGACCUACUCUUAGAUGUGUACUUGUUAGAAGGGAAAGUUACAGCCCAUGUGACUAUAUCUGAUAGCAACAACCACAAUAUCUCUUGUCUCACCAAGACCUGCUACUCAAAACUAGUCCUGUUUAAUUUUUCAAAACGGUAACAGGCUUCUUAGUAACAAUAAUUCAACAAUUUACAAUGUAACAACAUUAUGAGUUAACGCUUAAGUUGUCUGUGAGAUUCUCUACCUAUAGGCUACUCUACCUGAACGUUACCAUGUAAAUGCUAACACCUUAUCUGAUGGAAUGUGUUAUUAAGAGUUCACGGAGGAAACGUCACAUAGCCGUGAACCAACUGAAAAAAACCACAGAAAAAAAUGUUCCACCUGAUUGGCCAAUGACAGGUUAAACUUCCUUUAAUGAAAAAGUCUGCAUGAUAUCUGUGUGUACGAACAGCUUCACUGUCUUUUAUCUGCCGGUCAUCGUCACACAUGGAUGGGUUGCAAAUUCUUACAGUCGUUCUCUUAGGAGUUGUUUCUUACAGUCAUGGUUGGAUUUCUGGACCAGUGUUGGAGGUGACAGUCAGACCAGGAGACAACAUCACUCUCUACUGUGACUGCAAAUUAUCAAGUGGAGUAUACAUAGUGUGGUACAGAAACUGCUCUCAUGAGAACCAGCCUUCUCUUGUCCUUGAAUCAAAACUUGAAUUAUAUGUGUUAACCGUUCUCCCUGGUUUUCAAUUUGUGAGAAACCAUUCCUCUGCCUCCUAUGACUUGUUGAUCAUGAACGUCACUGAUGCAGAUGAGGGUCUCUACUACUGUGGAACUAAACAGAUCAAGGUGGAGGACAAAGAAUUCAUCACUCCCAGAUAUGAUUACAGAUAUGGCAACGUCACAACAAGGAUCGGGAUCAUAGUCAACUCCAGCGAGCCUCAUCACACGGAGACUCCACAAGACUGUAGUGUGUGCUGGAUGCUGCUGUUCUCUCUGUGUCCAGCUUUUGCUGUCCUCUCCUCUCUCCUCUCCUCACUCGUGGUUUAUCACAUCUGUCAGAAAAAAGCUAAAGAACGUCAAGUUGAUCAACAAAAACCUGAAACUAGAGGUCAAACAAGACUGAAUCAGGAUGAAGAUGUGUGUUAUGCUGCACUGGAAAUCAGAAGACCAAAGAAGAAGAAAACACAGAUUUCUGACUCCACCACGUAUUCUGCCAUCAAUAGCCUGUAGGAUGUAAAGAGCCUAACAAUUUACACAAACAUGAAUUCAUUAGAGCUGAUGUUUCUGUAAUUUAGUUUCCCUUGCAAACCACAGCAACAACCAAUAACACUGAUGGUAUAUACAGUAUGAAAACAUGGCAUACAGUUAAGGUUGGUUUUUUUUUUAAAAAGCAGUGAUGUGUUUGAAAAGUUGAUCAUAAACUCUUUUGUCUUUGUUAAUUGAGAACAAAUAUACAUUUUACAGUAUUUAGUAGUUAAUGAAGCCACCAGUGUUACUAGUGGGAAGGAAGAUAAAGAGUGGCAAACGAAAACAAAGACAGGAUUUGAUUUGAGAGUGAUUUAGAUUUUGUGUGCAGGGGCAAAAAUAUAGACAGUGCAGUUGCCUGUGGGGGCCCAUAGAGAGAAGGGCCUCCAACAAUGUGUUAGGUGAAACUUCUGAAAUACGCCUGUGUUGAAAGAUCUAUAUAGGAAUAUAUAUAUAUAUAUAUAUAUAACUAUUCAAUUAAAUAAUUAAUAUUUUGUUAUUUUGAAACUGAAUGAGAAUUAAACUCAUCGCAAGAUUGCUACACUUUAAACUUAUUACUCAAAGAAGUUACAACCCAAUACAGAGUGACAAUGAAGUUACAGGAGCCGCAAGGUGUCGCCAUUGUGAUCAGGCCCACAGGAAACCCAUAUUGCAAAACAGCACAUCAUGCAGGCGGACUGAUGCAGCAGAUUAGUGGUGUUAUACUGUUUUUAUGCAUGCCUUCACUUUCGUUACUUGAGAAUUAUCUUAUGAUGCAGGGCUGGCAGUAUGGUGUGUGGACUGGUAGCUAGAGAGGUGCCAGUUCGACCUCCUGGCCACCUGCAAGGCCCCCUAACCCCAAUUUGUCCUUGCUCAUUCUGUUGUUUUAUUGGGUUCAUGUUCCUUAUUUUCAUUUUAUCUGCAUUGUUUGGUUUUGAUUAUUUAUUUUUUUGUACAGCACUUUGUAACAUUGUUAAGAAAAGUGCUAUAUAAAUAAAGUAUAGUAUGUUUCUCAGCAUCCCAUGAUUUAACUAACAGCAUAACUGAGAAUCUUCUAGACAUAUUGGUGACCAGUCAUCAAAAACAGCUUACUAGAAACAGUGGCAGAAUUGGGUGAAAGUCUCAUUUGCAUCACUGCUGACAUCAAUGAGGAAGGACCAGAAUAUCACCAUCUUGCUCGCUGAUAAAGGGAGAUGCACAGCUGUGCUGGGUGUGGCCAGAGGUCCAACUGAAACGUUCAACCAGAGAGGGUAGUAAAACACUGCUUUUCAGCCUGGAAUAUUAACUUACUCUAUAAACACCACCUACUUUAGAUAAAAUAAUGGUACAGACAGAAGCACAGCUCCUUCUAUGAGACAACAUGUAGUCAUUGGGUCAAAAAUAUAAGCUUGAGAAGUGCAAGCUUUUACAAACUUAUACAUGUAUGCAUAGACAGCAACAUCAAGUUUAAAUGGGAAGACAUCAGAGACAGAGACAAUAUAAGGGUUUAGACUGAGAAGUGCAAAUCAAAGAGGACAGAUGCCUUGAUACAGGUACUGAGGUGAAUGGACACCAAAGGAAAAAGCUUGUGGCUACCCAACUGUGCCUUUGUAAAAACAGCUACAGGAAGAAUAGGUGCAACAUAGGCCUUACAUACAUUUGAGAAACUCAGGAGGAACUUUAACAAACACAGCUUCCCUGCUUUUUUUUCAAACUUAGCACCACAAUGAGAUAAAAGGUUGUCCAGCGUCAAGACCAUAAACCCAAACAUAAGACAAGCAAAUUAAUAAACAAAGUCCAGUGCAGAGAGUAUUGCAGACCUGUGUAUUAGACAGUCAAUACUCAGUCUAGUUACAUCUAAAAUAUAAGAUUUUGAGACCAGAAAAGUAUUCAUACUUAUUGGACAGAGAAAGCAG